rnacentral:rRNA from 1 species
UACAGAGGGUGCGAGCGUUAAUCGGAAUUACUGGGCGUAAAGGGUGCGUAGGUGGGAUAAUAAGUUAUGUGUGAAAGUUCUGGGCUCAACCUGGAGACGGCAGAUAAGACUGUUAUUCUAGAGUAUAGGAGAGGGUAGUGGAAUUUCCGGUGUAGCGGUGAAAUGCGUAGAGAUCGGAAGGAACACCGGUGGCGAAGGCGGCUACCUGGCCUGAUACUGACACUGAGGCACGAAAGCAUGGGGAGCAAACAGG